AUGUUUUAUCAUUUUUUUGGAUGGGAUUUUAUAAGACUAAAUGGGUUAUUUUGCAAUAUUUAUUGUCAAAUACAUGGACUAAGGAUCCAAAAACAUGAUAUGUUUCUGCACUUUUUUUUACAUGAAAUUUUACCUGCAGAAAGAAAAAACAAAGGUUACAACAACACAACUCAUUCUAAUAGCAUCAAAAUACAUGUAUCACCAAGAAUAUUCAACAACAAUUCGAAUUGCAACAUUCACAAAUUCAAAGAAACAUUGAAGAAAAUUUACAACACAAUAUUAUACAUAGUGCCAUUUGUUUUUGCAGGAAACAGAGAUAAGAAGAAGGUGUUAAAAUCGAAUUCGCUCCUCUCAAACAUCCGUCCGCCUCUCAAAUCUCCUCCUCUCGUUGGCCAAGGUUCAGAUCCGAUACAAACAACACAGUUAAGCAGUGGCUUGGUGAUUAUACGAGAACAAUAA